rnacentral:lncRNA from 1 species
AAUGUUUGUUUUCAUUAUGUAAGAGUGGCCUUCAAUCAUUACUUACCCUGAAUAUUAGUUUCUCAUGUAAAAAAACAGAGUUACAUAAGCUUAUGGGAAAAUCCAAAUAAAAAAUUUUCUUUCCAUUAUAAUAGAAACUCAUGUUUUACUCUGAAUGCAGGUGCUGUGAUGCCAUCUAGGCAAAGAGAUUAUAAGAAAAAUGAUGAAAUCACGAUGUCCUCAUUUCUCCAUAAUGUUGUGGGAUCAAGAAUUGUGAAAAGAAGGAAAAAUGAAUCUGAAAUCAACAACCAUUAUCUCAUAUGGACUCUAGAUAGAUCUUUGACCUGACUAUUCAUACAUCAGAGGAAUAAUGAUGAAAUUUGAAAACUGUUCACAAAAGUAAUAUUGUUUUAUGGUCUGAAGAUUAAUAUUCUGUAAAUGAAGAAACAAAGAGCCUGACAGAUUAGGAACAUGAAGAGAGCUAACACUUCUGGCAACAAAUGAUUCCAUUUCAAGAUUUUUAAACACUUAAUUAAAAUAAAACUCUUAUAAAAGUGUAAAGAAACACUAUGAAUAGUGAAAGGGAAUAAGAGAGGUUUCAAAUGAGUUUGUUUUUUAUGUAUUUUUCUCAUUAAUUUGCAAGAAGGCAACUUAUACAUUUGCAUUAGGAUGAGGUUGGGGAUCAUAGCGACUUUAAAGUGCCGACUAUUUUAUUUUUGUAAAUGUGCAAAACACUUAAAAUAUCAGAACCAAAUGCUGCAUAUUUUAACAAGUAAAAGGAAAGCUGACUAUCAAUAAUGUAUGAUAUUACACUACAUAAUAAGAAAUGUAUGAUUUUAUUUUCUUUAAAUACAUUUUUAUAAACAUGAAAUAGAAUUGCUCUUAUAAUACAUUUUGAAUUUAUUGGGGUAUUAUUUGAUUUGAAAUUCAAUGAAGUAAAAUGAGAAAGGAUUUUAAAAUACGUAUAAGACAUUUGAUCCCAAACUAGAUACUUUUCACAUUUACAGAUAUUACUAGACUGUAAUUAAAGGGACAUGAAUAGUUUGCAUCUUUUUACUGUUGUAGCCUAAGGGUCUCACCGGAACACAGAGCAUGAACCUAGCAUAUACUCCUAGCGUCUAUGUGCUUGACGCAUAAAUGAAAAUCACUGAGGAUGAGUUAAGAAAUGAUUUUUUGUUUAAAUUUCCAUCAGUAGUUUCUAACUUUAUUUUUUGAAAUUUAAUAGAAUCUGUGAAUUUGUUUUCUGACAAAAUAUAAAUAUGCAAUCUAUAGUUUAAAACUUGUGUAUUUUUGGAUACAAUUUUUGAUGGACACCCCAUAAUGAGACACCUUUGGGCUUCAUAGAUCCAUCUAUUGCCAAAAAUGUUAGUGAAGCUGUAAAAAUACUCAAAAUUCAAAAGUAUUGGAGAUAGAUUUUAAUGUAUUUUUAAAAUUUAAAUCUAAUACUAUUCUUUUUUUCUUCUUCAGCCUUAAGCUCCUGUUUGUGUUUCUCCUUUAUACUUUACAGCAAAGGAAAAAGCAACAAGAUGUCCAUGACCUUCAUGAAGUACGGAGAGAGAAGAGGCUAUAAAUGCAAUUAGUGCUGCUGCAGACCUCUGACCCUUGAUGUUGGAGUCCUUUAGGUUUCUUAGGUAAAUUUAGCUCUUCCAUGGAACCUGAAACCUUUGGGGAAAAAAGGCUGGAGGAAAACAGAGAUCGUGCAAGGUGAAAGGGUUUCUGAGUGGAGAAUUGAAGCCGCAAACUGCACAUGUCAUCAUCUCUUUAACUCUACAGUGCACUGCUUUGUUGCUCCCUGGAUUCCUGUGAUCUUUGCUUCCAUUUUGCAGAGAUCUAGCUUCUCCUGGAUUAGUAGAUUGGUAGAUGAAAUUGGCAUGUUUCUGUCUAGAAUUUAACUAAAUAUGCUUAGAUUUAAGUACAUUUCCUUACAAAUGGUUUAGAAGAAAAUGAUGUUCUACCUAUGCUAAAUCAACUUCAUCUUCACAUAUGUUUUCUCCACAUGAAAAGGAAAUUGUUUCAAAAUCAAUAGAAUGCUAAUUUCACACUACCCAUAGCUUACCUUGGCAUUUUGAUUAGGAAACAUAGUCUUUUCAGCUCCUCUCUGAAAUCACAUUUCUUUAUUUUUUUUUCUCAUGAGAAAAAGAGUUUGUCUUUUUUAGAAGGUUACUAAAAAAAAAUUAAAUUCCUUUAUUAUUUCAUUUUUUAUUCCUUAAGGUAUACCAUUAUGCUGCAAUUUGAGAGCAGUAAAAUUUAGUAUGAAUAUCAACUUUUAUAAAUUGCUCCUAACUUUAAAAGCCUCAGUUAUAUCAUUUGAUUUCUGACAUUAUUUUCUGUUUUUCUGAGGGAACUGAAAGAUUCACUGUUGAUUUUUUGGUAUGUGUAAAAUGUUUAUAAAAUAUGUCUUUCAAUCUUGCUAACACAAAACUCCAAAGCUGGCCACCUAAGCAACAAAGAUUUUUAGGGUAGCUUGAUUUUGUCAUUAUUUUUCUUGCAGCAUUAGUAGAAUUUUGUUAAGUAGGAGAAAGGGUAUUUGGUAUAUUACAGAGUAAUUUUUUAUUUUUAUUUUUUCCUUUUACUUUUAGUUGACACAUAACAAUUGUACAUAUGUAUGGGAUACAGAGUGAUAUUUCAAUAUGUGUAUACAAUGUGUAAUGAUCAAAUUAGGGUAAUUAGCAUUUCUAUCACCAUCAAAACAUUUAUCAUUACAGAGUAGAUUUUUGAAUGUAAGUUGGUUAUAUUACCAACUUGGUUGUUGGCAAUUUGCUGUACUGAUCUCCCUCUUUUCAAAGUUAACUUGUAUAAUUUGUUUUUCAAGGUAGGUUAACACACCAAUUCAUUCAUCAUGGGAAAAGAUCCUAGGGGCUUUUAAAAAUUUCACAAAAUACAGGAACCCCAUAAUAUCACUAAAAAUACUCAUUUAACUUUUGCUUGAAGAUGUCUGUGGUUCUCAUUACUUCAAAGAAAGUCACUCUAUUCCUUUCUGGAGAUGAAAGAGCACCCUAUUUCCAUAUUCAUUAGGGAGUUGUUUCUUAUAUGAUCUGAAAUCUAUGUCCCUGUAAUUCCAACUCAUUAGUUCCCACUCUCAUGUACGAAACUAUGCAGAUGAAUUUUUACCUUAUUUCUACAUGAAAUUCCUCCAAAUAUCAAAUAUUAAAUACCUAGGUUUCAAAAUUCUUCCUAAAAUAUAACAGACAGGACUGAACACAGUGCUAUAUAUAUCACCUAGGCAGUACAAUGAAUAAUGGAAUUACUCUUCCUUUUCUAGGGACCAGGAAUGGAUGUUAGCACUAAGAUCAUUAUCCCCCAGCCCUGCAGCUCUGCUGGUCAAAAUUGAGUAAAUUAACAACUAUACUCCUCCUCCUCCUGGUUACUUAUUGGGCAGCCACUACUAUGUUAAGCAGUUUAUUUAUAUAACAGCCAUCUUACGUGGGUACUUCACUUAUGUGAAACACACAAGGAAACCAGAAUUUACCCAAGGUAACAUAAACUACAAAAUAACAUAACUACAAAGAAGAUGGGAAGCCUGAACUCUCUCAUCUCACUGCUCAUAUUUUUAGGCACUUGGCAAUAUUGUAUUCCCUAACUAAAACACCGAGAACUCUGUCAUAUGAUCAGUAUUGCUGGUGAGAUGAUCCUCAGAAGAAUAUAUCUGUCCUUUGGCUUUGGGCUAGAUGUCUGGCACCUGAACCUCCAACCUGAUGCACAAUCCUUCCCUGUAAUUUUGAUAUAUGACCUAGCCUGUUAGAAAAAGUGGUUUCCUUUUAAUAGGCUCUUUUUAAAGUUAUCCUUUACAUUUUUUUCUUUAAAAAAUAUCCAGAAUUAGAUUCUGUGUUUACUACUAAGAUUGAUAGAUAGACUUAUCUAAAUAUUGUUAGGCCACCAUCAUUUUUUUGUUGUUUUUGCUGUGAUCAGGAUGCAUUAUAUUACAGUACUUUCCUUAUUUUCUUGUCCAGUAAUCUUAUUAAACAUGAGGCUAACUUUGCUUGUUCUGUAGAAACUACAUUCUUUUCUAAGUGCUUACCAUCUCUCUGUUGAAUAAAUUAAUUCAUUUAUAAUUUUCUAGGGAUUGUAGUAAAAAAUUAAAUCUAUUUUAGCAACAGUAAUGUAUCAAUUUCUUAUUCUGAAAAUUAUGGAUUAUCCAUUCCUAGACUUCUGUUGAUAAUAACAGAAAUAAUAUUGUCAGCACUUUAUAUCUUAGGUUAUAAUGUUUAGAUGUCAAAAAAGUUGUCACAUUAAUCUACUAAGAACAAUUUCUUUCAAAUUGUUUUAGAAAGGAAUCAACUUAAACAUUUGCUUGUGUAAUCAGUAUAUUUUAUUUGACAACAUGCUUGCCCUUUCAAAAUUUUCUCUGAUAGUAACUUAUUGUCUCUUUUAGUCAUUCUCUAAGCAAUUUUUCUUUCUAUCUUUAUAAUUCUGGUCCUCUUUUUCCCCACCUAUCUUUUCUUCCUACGUUCCAAUAUACAUUCAAAAGGCCCAGAAACAGUCUAGUCUUCAAAAAGAAAUUAUUUUCACUAUGGCAGUCUACAUUAGUAAUUGUUUUCUAGUGCCCCUAGUAAUUCAUAUCAUACUACCUAGCACUUUACUUUAAACUAACUAAUGUUUCUCUUGAUAUAUCAAAUAUG